AAUUAUUAUCAUGGUAGCUAUCCUUCACAGUCUCUUCCUUUCUGUCUUAUAGAGCCCUUGGGAAGGUUCCUGUGCACACUUCCAUGCCUUGCUCAGCAUGUGCUGGCCGCUGUUAGAGGGCCAAGAACCUAGGGAUUGUGAUGCACUUGUGUAGGUUGUCAAGAGAUUCAGGUCCUGUCUUCCAUGUGAACAUGACAUGGACAUCAGCUUCCUAAAGGUACCUCUACACCAUCUUGUGAUGACAGUUCAUGCCACUCUUUUGCCCUUUGGA